rnacentral:lncRNA from 1 species
AGAGAAUAUGAGAAUGUAUGUGUGUUUUAACACCUCGCCUCGCUGCCUGGAUUCUUACUGCGCAAGGGGUAUGCUAUCAGGGCAUUCAUCUCGGAAAGCUGGAGUGAUUGUUAAUGGAGAACGACUUCCAUUGAAGCCCAGGAUUUGUGCGACCUAAGAAUGAAGGUUGCCGCUGGUGCCACAUUAAAGAGAACAAUUCCCGAGGAAAAAAAGAAGUUGGGAGAACCUCGUUAACAAGGCAGCACUCCUCUUCUACCAUCCCUCUCCAGGAAUCGCAGGAUUGUUGUUCUGAGAAUGAGCGUGCACAGUAGUGCACUGUUAACAGUGUUUUGCACGUAGCAGGUGCUUAAUAAAUGUUUGACGAAUGAACAGAGGCGCUAAACCAGUCAAUGUACCCAAAAAACCAUCCCAUUGAUUUCUGAGGUCUCUUUAUGUAACUUGAUUCCUGCCUCAGCAGCAGCAUUGUCCUUACUCUUGAGAAAGAGAGGGGCAAUGUUGAUGAUGGUCUGUGCUAGACAUGACCUCUAAACCUGCCUUUUUGAACUUAUUCUUGCCAAGAACUUAUACAUGGGAGUGUUGAUACUGGCCUCUUCCCCUUCCAGGACUACUGUUAACCAGUUAGGCUGCUCAAGUUUCAGUCAAGUACCAUCAGUUAUAAUCUGUGUUCUUAUCCAAGUUACUGAAACUCUGGGCCUGCAUAAAAUGGGGAUAAUAGUACUUAACUU